UGUACCCUGUUAAACCUUGUUAAACUGUAUUCUGCACAGCUUCAGCAGCUUGGCGUUCAGCAAGAUACCCGUCCACACAGCACUGAACUUAAAAAUCGCAUUCUCGACCACUUCCCAGAUCUGAAAGCCCACAAAGAAGGACGUGACAUACUAUUGGCCUUUGACAAAGACCUGGGAGCUGCUCUGCGUAAGCUCUGCAAAGAAGAUUUUGAUGAUGAAGCCAUCUGCCUGGCACAAUCAGCUAAGAUUGUGUGGCGAGCCAUGUUCCAGCUGCAGGCAGGAUUCACAGGCUCCUUUGAUAAGGCAUGUUAGGUCAAUUCUGUACCG